GCGGGGUCGGGGCGGGGCGUCCGCCCGCACUCACACUCCGGGGUCCCGGAGGGUAUUUAAGGCUCACACGCCACAGAGCCAUAGACGCUUCGGGUAGCCUCGGUCCUUUCCUUCGCUCCAGGGCCAUCCUCGUUCUCCCCCGUGCCCUUGGCCACCCUUCGUGGGCUGCGCUCUCGCGGACCUGCAUCCAGGUGGGACACAGGUCGCGCGUGGGCAGAUCUCGGCCAGCAGAGAUAAGCGAAGUAAGCGAAGCAACAGGUCCGGGUGUCCCGGCUCCGCCAGGUAGGCGGCGCGCAGGUGUCCCUUCGUCCGGCCGCCGCGGGAUGCUCCUCGCGCGCGGGUCCCCACGCUGAGCCCGCGUCCGUCCACCGCCGCGCCUGCAGCCGCAGGAACAAACUGAACUUCUCAGGAAUCGUCCUCGCGCUUCUCCUGAGAUCCCCGCGGGACGCCGAGGGGGAAGGUGCAGCCCAGCCCGCCGCCCCCGCCGCGAUGCUGCCGAAGAAGCCCGCAGGGAAGGGCGCGGCGCGGGAGCCGGGGUCCGCAGAGCCCCCCGGCCCGCCCUGCACCCGCACCGCGCCCCCAUGCGCGGCCCUCUCCUCCCUCCUGUCCGUGGCCGCGCUGGCUUCGUGUCUGUACCUCGGGGUGAAAACCUGCGACCUCCAGGCGAGGGUUGCUGCGCUGGAAUCCGCCAAAGGCGCCCCCUCCAUCCAUCUGCUGCCUGACACCCUGGAUCAGCUGAAGGCCGUGGUGCAGGAGAAAGUGGAGCGCCUUCUGGCUCAGAAAUCCUAUGAACACAUGGCUAAAAUAAGAAUCGCGAGAGAAGCACCUUCGGAGUGUAACUGCCCAGCAGGUAAAAUGGAACUUAUUAACGAGGUCUCUUCCAUAGAAGUGCAUUUGAAAUCAAUAGUCGUGUGUCUGACAAGUCUACCUGUAAUAGCAGUAAAGAAAGAAUGCAGACCCAACUUGCUUUAAUAAAAUCAACAUGUCUCAGUUAAAGGGAUGCAAAUAAAGUCCCAGAUAUUAUUGUAAGCAGCAUACCAAGGUCUGGUAGGGAAAGCAAGAGAUGGAGAGAAUUACCAUGGAAAAUAUGGGCAAGAUGAUGUACAAAGACAAAGGGCUUAGAUUCACAGAUUGAGAAGUAUUCUUCAGCUUUAUGAAAUUAAUGUCUGGUGAAAAGGACUGUAGAACUGUUAGAUUCUGAAUUCCCUAGUGGGUAAGUUGCACUAGCGCAUGUUUCUGUUUAUUCUUUGGUGAGGAUUAUGUUAGAAAACACCUGCACUGCUUUACUUUCUCCCCCACUCUAUCAAGAAAAUUCUUUCUCCUAUUCCAUAGUGAAAGGUGAAGACCAAGAGGACAUUAGUUCUUUAUCUUGAGCUUUGUAUUACAAAACUAUCCUUAAUGAUUUCUCAGAAAAGGCUCUUAUAUUUUUACCAUUUGUUUUUUCUGUGUGGUUUCAGGGGAACUAUAUUAAUGAUAGCAUAACAGAAGGAUGGAGAAGAGAAACCUCAGUGAAUCACAUCUCCCUCCCCCAUAAUUGAUAAAUCUUCAUUCACAGAUCUCUGAGGCUUGGUGGUCACCUCUAGAUGGAUUCUGUGAUAUAAGCCAUA
rnacentral:lncRNA from 1 species